GACGAACGCUGGCGGCGUGCCUAAUGCAUGCAAGUCGAACGCUGAAGGAGGAGCUUGCUUCUCUGGAUGAGUUGCGAACGGGUGAGUAACGCGUAGGUAACCUGCCUGGUAGCGGGGGAUAACUAUUGGAAACGAUAGCUAAUACCGCAUAAGAGUAGAUGUUGCAUGACAUUUGCUUAAAAGGUGCAAUUGCAUCACUACCAGAUGGACCUGCGUUGUAUUAGCUAGUUGGUGGGGUAACGGCUCACCAAGGCGACGAUACAUAGCCGACCUGAGAGGGUGAUCGGCCACACUGGGACUGAGACACGGCCCAGACUCCUACGGGAGGCAGCAGUAGGGAAUCUUCGGCAAUGGACGGAAGUCUGACCGAGCAACGCCGCGUGAGUGAAGAAGGUUUUCGGAUCGUAAAGCUCUGUUGUAAGAGAAGAACGAGUGUGAGAGUGGAAAGUUCACACUGUGACGGUAUCUUACCAGAAAGGGACGGCUAACUACGUG
rnacentral:rRNA from 1 species